AAGACCUUGCACUUUUGGAGCGGCCGAUGCCUGAUUAGCUAGUUGGUGGGGUAAAAGCUUACCAAAGCUUCGAUCAGUAGCUGGUCUGAGAGGACGGCCAGCCACACUGGGACUGAGACACGGCCCAGACUCCUACGGGAGGCAGCAGUGGGGAAUUUUGGACAAUGGGGGCAACCCUGAUCCAGCCAUGCCGCGUGAGUGAAGAAGGCCUUCGGGUUGUAAAGCUCUUUCAGCCGGAAAGAAAAGGUUGCGAUUAAUACCGCAANAAUACCCGUGAUUACUACCGAAAGAAGAAGCACCGGCUAACUACGUGCCAGCAGCCGCGGUAAUACGUAGGGUGCGAGCGUUAAUCGGAAUUACUGGGCGUAAAGCGUGCGCAGGUGGUUUUGUAAGUCAGAUGUGAAAUCCCCGGGCUCAACCUGGGAACU
rnacentral:rRNA from 1 species